UACAGAGGGUGCAAGCGUUAAUCGGAAUUACUGGGCGUAAAGCGUGCGUAGACGGUUAUGUAAGUCAGGUGUGAAAUCCCUCGGCUCAACCGAGGAAUGGCGCUUGAUACUGCAAGGCUUGAGGGAGACAGGGGUAAGCGGAACUGAUGGUGGAGCGGUGAAAUGCGUUGAUAUCAUCAGGAACACCGGUGGCGAAAGCGGCUUACUGGGUCUCUUCUGACGCUGAGGAACGAAAGCUAGGGUAGCGAACGGG
rnacentral:rRNA from 1 species